UACGAAGGGUGCAAGCGUUACUCGGAAUCACUGGGCGUAAAGCGUGCGUAGGCGGUUCGUUAAGUCUGCUGUGAAAGCCCUGGGCUCAACCUGGGAACUGCAGUGGAUACUGGCGGACUAGAGUGUGAUAGAGGAUGAUGGAAUUCCCGGUGUAGCGGUGAAAUGCGUAGAGAUCGGGAGGAACACCAGUGGCGAAGGCGGCCAUCUGGAUCAACACUGACGCUGAGGCACGAAAGCGUGGGGAGCAACAGGGAUUAAGAAACCAUGGUAACGUUCCGA
rnacentral:rRNA from 1 species